rnacentral:tRNA from 1 species
UCCCUGGUGGCUCAGAUGGUAAAGAAUCUGCCUGCAAUGCAGGAGACCCAGGUUCGAUCUCUUGGUCAGGAAG